GACGAACGCUGGCGGCGUGCUUAACACAUGCGAGUCGAACGGAAAGGCCCUGCUUUUGUGGGGUGCUCGAGUGGCGAAAGGGUGAGUAACACGUGAGUAACCUGCCCUUGACUUUGGGAUAACUUCAGGAAACUGGGGCUAAUACCGGAUAGGAGCUCCUGCUGCAUGGUGGGGGUUGGAAAGUUUCGGCGGUUGGGGAUGGACUCGCGGCUUAUCAGCUUGUUGGUGGGGUAGUGGCUUACCAAGGCUUUGACGGGUAGCCGGCCUGAGAGGGUGACCGGCCACAUUGGGACUGAGAUACGGCCCAGACUCCUACGGGAGGCAGCAGUGGGGAAUAUUGCACAAUGGGCGGAAGCCUGAUGCAGCAACGCCGCGUGCGGGAUGACUGCCUUCGGGUUGUAAACCGCUUUCGCCUGUGACGAAGCGUGAGUGACGGUAAUGGGUAAAGAAGCACCGGCUAACUACGUG
rnacentral:rRNA from 1 species